rnacentral:rRNA from 1 species
GAUGAACGCUGGCGGCGUGCCUAAUACAUGCAAGUCGAGCGAACGGACGAGAAUCUUGCUUCUCUGAUGUUAGCGGCGGACGUGUGAGUAACACGUGUAUAACCUACCUAUAAGACUGGGAUAACUUCGGGAAACCGGAUCUAAUACCGUAUAAUAUUUUGAACCGCAUGGUUCAAAAGUGAAAGACGGUCUUUCUGUCACUUAUAGAUGGAUCCGCGCUGCAUUAGCUAGUUGGUAAGGUAACGGCUUACCAAGGCAACGAUGCAUAGCCGACCUGAGAGGGUGAUCGGCCACCCUGGAACUGAGCCACGGUCCAGACUCCUACGGGAGGCAGCAGUAGGGAAUCUUCCGCAAUGGGCGAAAGCCUGACGGAGCAACGCCGAGUGAGUGAUGAAGGUCUUCGGAUCGUAAAACUCUGUUAUUAGGGAAGAACAUAUGUGUAAGUAACUGUGCACAUCUUGACGGUACCUAAUCAGAAAGCCACGGCUAACUACGUG